rnacentral:rRNA from 1 species
CACGUAGGGUGCGAGCGUUGUCCGGAAUUAUUGGGCGUAAGGAGCUCGUAGGCGGUGUGUCGCGUCGGCCGUGAAAACCUGUGGCUUAACUAUGGGCUUGCGGUCGAUACGGGCAUCACUGGAGUUCGGCAGGGGAGACUGGAAUUCCUGGUGUAGCGGUGAAAUGCGCAGAUAUCAGGAGGAACACCGGUGGCGAAGGCGGGUCUCUGGGCCGAUACUGACGCUGAGGAGCGAAAGCGUGGGGAGCGAACAGG